GAUGAACGCUGGCGGCGUGCCUAACACAUGCAAGUCGAACGAAGCGCCUUUUAAGAUUCUUCGGAUGGAGUUUGAGUAUUUUAGCGGCGGACGGGUGAGUAACGCGUGAGUGACCUGCCUUCCACAGGGGGAUGACGUACCGAAAGGUACACUAAUACCGCAUGAGACCACAGCACUGCCUGGUGCAGGGGUCAAAGGAGCAAUCCGGUGGAAGAUGGACUCGCGUCCGAUUAGAUAGUUGGUGGGGUAACGGCCUACCAAGUCAGCGAUCGGUAGCCGACCUGAGAGGGUGAUCGGCCACAUUGGAACUGAGAGACGGUCCAAACUCCUACGGGAGGCAGCAGUGGGGAAUAUUGGGCAAUGGGGGAAACCCUGACCCAGCGACGCCGCGUGAGGGAAGAAGGUUUUCGGAUUGUAAACCUCUGUUCUUGGUGAAGAGGGAAAGACGGUAGCCAAGGAGGAAGCCCCGGCUAACUACGUGCCAGCCGCCGCAGUAA
rnacentral:rRNA from 1 species